GGCAAGUCGCACGGACCUUUCGGGGUGAGUGGCGGACGGGUGAGUAUCGCGUAGGGAUCUAUCCAUGGGUGGGGGAUAACAUCGGGAAACUGGUGCUAAUACCGCAUGAUACCUGAGGGUCAAAGGCGCAAGUCGCCUGUGGAGGAGCCUGCGUUCGAUUAGCUUGUUGGUGGGGUAAAGGCCUACCAAGGCGAUGAUCGAUAGCUGGUCUGAGAGGAUGAUCAGCCACACUGGGACUGAGACACGGCCCAGACUCCUACGGGAGGCAGCAGUGGGGAAUAUUGGACAAUGGGCGAAAGCCUGAUCCAGCAAUGCCGCGUGUGUGAAGGAGGUCUUCGGAUUGUAAAGCACUUUCGACGGGGACGAUGAUGACGGUACCCGUAGAAGAAGCCCCGGCUAACUUCGUGCCAGCAGCCGCGGUAAUACGAAGGGGGCUAGCGUUGCUCGGAAUGACUGGGCGUAAAGGGCGCGUAGGCGGUUUACACAGUCAGAUGUGAAAUUCCAGGGCUUAACCUUGGGGCUGCAUUUGAUACGUGUAGACUAGAGUGUGAGAGAGGGUUGUGGAAUUCCCAGUGUAGAGGUGAAAUUCGUAGAUAUUGGGAAGAACACCGGUGGCGAAGGCGGCAACCUGGCUCAUUACUGACGCUGAGGCGCGAAAGCGUGGGGAGCAAACAGGAUUGGAUACCCUGGUAGUCCACGCUGUAAACGAUGUGUGCUGGAUGUUGGGUAACUUAGUUACUCAGUGUCGAAGCUAACGCGCUAAGCACACCGCCUGGGGAGUACGGCCGCAAGGUUUGAAACUCAAAGGAAUUGACGGGGGCCCCGCACAAGCGGUGGAGCAUGUGGUUUAAUUCGAAGCAACCGCGCAGAACCUUACCAGGGCUUGACAUGGGGAG
rnacentral:rRNA from 1 species